rnacentral:rRNA from 1 species
CGCAAACUUUUUUUUCGAUAUGAACUCUAAAAAAAAAUAACGCUGUUAUCCCUAAGGUAAUUUAAUCUUAUAAUCAUAAAUUAUGGAUCACUUACUCAUAUAUCAAUGAUUGAAAAUAUAAAAAAAGUUUAUUAAAUUUUUUAGUUGCCCCAACUAAAUAUUAAUUUAAAUAUUUAAAUUUUAUAUACUUAAAUUUCUAAUUAUUUAAAUUAAUAUAAAAUUCUAUAGGGUCUUCUCGUCUUUUAAAUAUAUUUAAGCUUUUUUACUUAAAAAUAAAAUUCUAAUUAAAAUUAAAUUGAGACAGUAUUUUCUUCGUCAAACCUUUCAUUCCAGUUCUCAAUUAAAAAACUAAUGAUUAUGCUACCUUUGCACGGUCAAAAUACCGCAGCCAUUUAAAAUUUAAUUCAUAGGGCAGGUCAGACUUUAAAUUAUUAUCAAAAAGCCAU